rnacentral:rRNA from 1 species
UACGUAGGGGGCAAGCGUUAUCCGGAUUUACUGGGUGUAAAGGGAGCGUAGACGGCAGAGCAAGUCUGAAGUGAAAGCCCGCGGCCCAACUGCGGGACUGCUUUGGAAACUGCCCGGCUAGAGUGCUGGAGAGGUAAGCGGAAUUCCUAGUGUAGCGGUGAAAUGCGUAGAUAUUAGGAGGAACACCAGUGGCGAAGGCGGCCUGCUGGACCGUAACUGACGUUGAGGCUCGAAAGCGUGGGGAGCAAACAGG